rnacentral:rRNA from 1 species
UACGUAGGGGGCAAGCGUUGUCCGGAUUUAUUGGGCGUAAAGAGCGUGUAGGCGGCCAUACAGGUCCGUUGUGAAAACUGGAGGCUUAACCUCCAGACGUCGAUGGAAACCGUAUGGCUAGAGUCCGGAAGAGGAGAGUGGAAUUCCUGGUGUAGCGGUGAAAUGCGCAGAUAUCAGGAAGAACACCCGCGGCGAAGGCGGCUCUCUGGGACGGUACUGACGCUGAGACGCGAAAGCGUGAGGAGCGAACAGG